rnacentral:rRNA from 1 species
UUACAUGAUUCCAUGCUUCCAAGAAAAGCAUCUAGAGAGAGAAGUAGUGCCCGUACCGCAAACCGACACAGGUAGAUGAGGAGAGAAUCCUAAGGCCGCCGGAAGAAUUGUAGUUAAGGAACUAGGCAAAUUGACCCCGUAAGUUAGCGAGAAGGGGUGCCUGCGAGAGCAGGCCGCAGAGAAUAGGCCCAAGCAACUGUUUAGCAAAAACACAGGUCUCUGCUAAAGCGCAAGCUGAUGUAUAGGGGCUGACGCCUGCCCGGUGCUGGAAGGUUAAGGGGAACACUUAGCGCAAGCGAAGGUGUGAACUUAAGCCCCAGUAAACGGCGGCCGUAACUAUAACGGUCCUAAGGUAGCGAAAUUCCUUGUCAGGUAAGUUCUGACCCGCACGAAUGGCGUAAUGACUUGGGCACUGUCUCAACUGCAAAUCCGGCGAAGUUGUAGUGCGAGUGAAGAUGCUCGCUACCCGCGAUUGGACGGAAAGACCCCGUAGAGCUUUACUGUAGCUUAGCAUUGAAUUCCGGUAUUGUCUGUACAGGUUAGGUGGGAGACUGGGAAACUAGGGCGUCAGCCUUGGUGGAGUCGUCCUUGGGAUACCACCCUGACAGUACUGGGGUUCUAACAGGACGCCAUGAAUCUGGUGACUGGACAUUGUUAGGUGGGCAGUUUGACUGGGGCGGUCGCCUCCUAAAAAGUAACGGAGGCGCCCAAAGGUUCCCUCAGAACGGUCGGAAAUCGUUCGUAGAGUGCAAAGGCAGAAGGGAGCCUGACUGCGAGACCUACAAGUCGAGCAGGGACGAAAGUCGGGCUUAGUGAUCCGGUGGUACCUCGUGGGAGGGCCAUCGCUCAACGGAUAAAAGCUACCUCGGGGAUAACAGGCUGAUCUCCCCCAAGAGUCCACAUCGACGGGGAGGUUUGGUACCUCGAUGUCGGCUCGUCGCAUCCUGGGGCUGUAGUAGGUCCCAAGGGUUGGGCUGUUCGCCCAUUAAAGCGGCACGCGAGCUGGGUUCAGAACGUCGUGAGACAGUUCGGUCCCUAUCCGUCGCGGGCGUAGGAAAUUUGAGAGGAGCUGUCCUUAGUGCGAGAGGACCGGGAUGGACUGACCUCUGGUGCACCAGUUGUUCUGCCAAGAGCAUGGCUGGGUAGCUAAGUCGGGAAGGGAUAAACGCUGAAAGCAUCUAAGCGUGAAGCCUCCCUCAAGAUGAGAUUUCCCAUAGCAUAAGCUAGUAAGACCCCUUGAAGAACACGAGGUUGAUAGGUCAGAGGUGUAAGUGUGGUAACAUAUUUAGCUGACUGAUACUAAUAGGUCGAGGGCUUGACCG